CUGGCGGCGUGCCUAAUACAUGCAAGUCGAAACGCACUCUCGUUUAGAUUGAAGGAGCUUGCUCUGAUUGAUAAACAUUUGAGUGAGUGGCGGACGGGUGAGUAACACGUGGGUAACCUGCCCUAAAGUGGGGGAUAACAUUUGGAAACAGAUGCUAAUACCGCAUAAAACCUAACACCGCAUGGUGUAGGGUUGAAAGAUGGUUUCGGCUAUCACUUUAGGAUGGACCCGCGGUGCAUUAGUUAGUUGGUGAGGUAAAGGCUCACCAAGACCGUGAUGCAUAGCCGACCUGAGAGGGUAAUCGGCCACACUGGGACUGAGACACGGCCCAGACUCCUACGGGAGGCAGCAGUAGGGAAUCUUCCACAAUGGACGAAAGUCUGAUGGAGCAACGCCGCGUGAGUGAAGAAGGUUUUCGGAUCGUAAAACUCUGUUGUUGGAGAAGAAUGUAUCUGAUAGUAACUGAUCAGGUAGUGACGGUAUCCAACCAGAAAGCCACGGCUAACUACGUG
rnacentral:rRNA from 1 species